rnacentral:rRNA from 1 species
AGGCUGCAACUCGCCUGCAUGAAGUCGGAAUUGCUAGUAAUCGUAGGUCAGCAUACUACGGUGAAUACGUUCCCGGGCCUUGUACACACCGCCCGUCAAACCAUGAGAGUUGGCAACACCCGAAGUCGGUAGUCUAACCGCAAGGAGGACGCCGCCGAAGGUGGGGUUGAUGAUUAGGGUUAAGUCGUAACAAGGUAAC